GCUUGUCUCAAAGAUUAAGCCAUGCAUGUUUAAGUAUAGCUUUUAUACGGUGAAACUGCGAAUGGCUCAUUAAAUCAGUUAUUGUUUAUUUGAUAUUGACUUUACUACUGGAUAUCCGUGGUAAUUCUAGAGCUAAUACAAUACUAUAUAGCCCCGACUUCUGGAAGGGGUGUAUUUAUUAGAUAACAAGCCAACCGAGGCAACUCGUUCUAUGGUGAAUCAUGAUAAAUCUCCGAUCGGUCUUUGACCGACUAGUCAUUCAAAUAUCUGCCCUAUCAACUUUCGACGGUAAGGUAGAGGCUUACCGUGGUGAUAACGGGUAACGGGGAAUUAGGGUUCGAUUCCGGAGAGGGAGCCUGAGAAACGGCUACCACAUCCAAGGAAGGCAGCAGG
rnacentral:rRNA from 1 species